GACAGAGGAUGCAAGCGUUAUCCGGAAUGAUUGGGCGUAAAGCGUCUGUAGGUGGCUUUUCAAGUCCGCCGUCAAAUCCCAGGGCUCAACCCUGGACAGGCGGUGGAAACUACCAAGCUGGAGUACGGUAGAGGCAGGUGGAAUUCCCGGUGUAGCGGUGGAAUGCGUAGAGAUCGGGAAGAACAUCAGUGGCGAAGGCGGCCUGCUGGGCUGUUGCUGACGCUGAGGCGCGACAGCGUGGGGAGCAAACAGG
rnacentral:rRNA from 1 species